rnacentral:rRNA from 1 species
GAUGAACGCUGGCGGCGUGCUUAACACAUGCCAGUCGAACGAUGAAGCCCAGCUUGCUGGGUGGAUUAGUGGCGAACGGGUGAGUAACACGUGAGUAACCUGCCCUUAACUCUGGGAUAAGCCUGGGAAACUGGGUCUAAUACCGGAUAGGAGCGUCCACCGCAUGGUGGGUGUUGGAAAGAUUUAUCGGUUUUGGAUGGACUCGCGGCCUAUCAGCUUGUUGGUGAGGUAAUGGCUCACCAAGGCGACGACGGGUAGCCGGCCUGAGAGGGUGACCGGCCACACUGGGACUGAGACACGGCCCAGACUCCUACGGGAGGCAGCAGUGGGGAAUAUUGCACAAUGGGCGCAAGCCUGAUGCGGCGACGCCGCGUGAGGGAUGACGGCCUUCGGGUUGUAAACCUCUUUCAGUAGGGAAGAAGCGAAAGUGACGGUACCUGCAGAAGAAGCACCGGCUAACUACGUG